GAUCGUUUUGGAAGCUAAGCAGGGUCCACCCGGGUUUCCUCUUGGAUGGGUUCCCUAACAUGAGUUGUAUGGGGUUGUAACCAGGAGGGGGAUUUUUACCCAAAUCGCAUUUUUUUUUCCCCCAAAAUUGCUAACCCAUAUGCAGGGGGGUGUAGGGGUUAAUUAUUGCCCCCCAGGGCAAUUAAUUGCAAUUAAUUAGGGGUUAUUACCCCCAGACUGUCUUGGAAGCUAAGCAGGGUCCGCCCGGGUUUCCUCUUGGAUGGGUUCCCCAACGCGAUCUCCAUGGGGUUGUAACCAGGAGGGGGAUUUUUCCCCAAAUCAUGUUUUUUUUUCCCCAAAAAAAUUCUAACCCAUGUGCUGUGUGGUUAUAGGGAUUAAUUAUUGCCCUCCCAGGGCAGCAUUCCUGCCCCGGGGGCAAUUAAUUAGACUUAAUUAGGGGUUAUUACCCCAGAUCGUUUUGGAAGCUAAGCAGGGUCCGCCCCGGUUUCCUCUUGGAUGGGUUCCCCAACGCGAUCUCUACCGGGUUGUAACCGGGGCUUGGAACUUCACCAAAAAAUGCCUUUUUUCCCCCAAAAAUGAAUUUCUAACCCAAUUUUUUUAAAUUUUUUACCUCUUUUAGGUGCGAAGGCCGCCCCCGACGGAGGAACCGAGCGCGGCCAAGCGCCUGCUGAUCCUGCUGCUGGCCGUGGUGGGCGCCCAGGUCUACAGCGCGCCGGGGGACGCGGCACCCAUGGAGCUGCCCAGGACGGCGGUGACAACGUGCCCACCCAACGGGACCCUCGUAAGGACGCACUUGGGGGCACCCAUGGGUGCCUCCUGCCCGCUGCUGCUGUCGCCCACCCUGGACCCCCCCAACGGCACGGCCGGGGGGGCUGCCCGCUGAUGGGGACCACCCGGGACCCUCC
rnacentral:lncRNA from 1 species